rnacentral:rRNA from 1 species
AGUGAACGCUGGCGGUAGGCCUAACACAUGCAAGUCGAACGGCAGCACAGUAAGAGCUUGCUCUUACGGGUGGCGAGUGGCGGACGGGUGAGGAAUACAUCGGAAUCUACUUUUUCGUGGGGGAUAACGUAGGGAAACUUACGCUAAUACCGCAUACGACCUACGGGUGAAAGCAGGGGAUCUUCGGACCUUGCGCGAUUGAAUGAGCCGAUGUCGGAUUAGCUAGUUGGCGGGGUAAAGGCCCACCAAGGCGACGAUCCGUAGCUGGUCUGAGAGGAUGAUCAGCCACAGUGGAAGUGAGACACGGUCCAGACUCCUACGGGAGGCAGCAGUGGGGAAUAUAGGAAACUGGGCGCAAGCCUGAUCCAGCCAUACCGCGUGGGUGAAGAAGGCCUGCGGGUUGUAAAGCCGUUUUGUUGGGAAAGAAAAGCAGCAGGUUAAUACCCCGCUGUUCUGACGGUACCCAAAGAAUAAGCACCGGCUAACUUCGG